GAAGGAGGUGUUGACACUUUUGUUUCUAGACAAAGGAAAUCAAAAACGCUUUGUAACACUGCGUUUAAUCACUUGCUAAAUGAAGAUGGAGAUCGAACAAGAAGGAGAAGAGAAGGAGAAUUGAUCAUCCGUAGAAAAAACAAACGAAAGCCAAAGUGGAGCAAGGUAAGUUGUUGGAUUGUUGGUUGGUUGUUCACAAAGUUCUGAUUUCAGUCUUCUUCCUCUUCCAUUUCUCUCUCUAUUCUAAUUCCGGCUAAUGAAACAAGAGAUCAUGGCCUCUCUCUCUGUCCCUCUCUGCGAAACCCAAAAGGCUGAAAAAAUUCAGCCAACGGUGUCGGCGGUUUCAUCACCAACAUAUGUCUUGGCGGUAGAGAGCUGCUUAACGGAGUUGCGUAAGAGGAGGUCGAGAUGUUUCCAUUGCUCGCUGGAGUUCCAUAGAUCUCGCCGAUGUUACCCCAUUUCACGAUGAGCUCUCUGAUGAUGAAAUUGUCUCCACCUAAUCCUCAUCCGCCAGAAAAGUUAGAAUAAGAGACGAGUGAGCUCAGAGCCGUGUCGAUGAUGCUCUGUUUCAUUGACUUUUCCCAGAACAAACAAUCUCGCCAUAGAUUGCGCUAGAGCUGAGACUCGGGUCUAUUGGCUGGGUUGUCGAAACCAAGUUAAGCAUUGCCGAUAAAAAUACAGUGACGUCAUCAUCGGCAGGGGUGAAACUCCUACAUUCAUAAACAGCAAUCUUAGACGAGUUUUGUUUCCUGAAACUGGUCGUAUAAAGUACAAAGGACUUGGGUUUGGUAUAUAACUUGAAUGACUAAUUUUGUUUCGAUUGUACUUUUAUUCCAUGACCUUACUUCAUCAUGAUAGUGCUUCAAUUGUUACAAGUAGUGUUAAUUCAUUCACAACAUUGUUAAACUGUUCUCCUAUCAUCUUCUUUGCAGUUUAGAAGCAGUGGACGGUCACAAGAUAAGUAUAUGAUUCCUUCUUUGUAUUUCCCCCCAGGUCUGUCCUGUAUGCACUAAGAGGGUGGGAUUGAAUAUCGUUGGCCAUAUUACGACGCAACAUGCCAAUUUUUUUAAGAUAUCCUUUCAACUUUCAAUAUCUGAUGGUUAAAUCUGUUUAUUAUCUUGGUUCUCUAUAGUACAUAUAAUAAUCAUUUGGUACAACUUAAGAGUGGAUUUUUUUAAUUCCUUGAUGAGAGGUUUUUACGUUCAGCGAAAGAGAAGGUUGUGAAGAGGAGGAUAUAGCUCUACUUAUCUCGCCUUGAAAAAGGAAUUCCGGGAAGCAAACUUACAGUCUCUUCUUGGUGCUUCUACAAGUUUCACUUCUUUAACCUGAUCCGCUGCUGUCAUCUUUUAUUUUUAAUUCUCCUUCACUCAAUGAGUCUGCAAACAAAACUGCUACACCUGCUGUGACUGAAGAAAACUCAGCUACAAAAGUCUCAUUUAGAGAAUCUCUCAAAAGGUAUAUAUUGACAUAUACUCUUAACCAAUAAUCAAAACGUAUAUGUAGACGCUAAAGUUAAAAACUUUUGCUGGCUA